UCAUAACAAGGUAAAAUCAUAUAGAGCCACUUGGCUAGGAACUUGGGCAGAAAGUCCAAGAUGUUACCCCAUUUUCUGGAUAUCUGAAACUGUAUAGUAACAUUAUAGCUGCAGCAAGGCUCCCAGUGUCAUUCCUUGUUCGGAGCAUGGCUCCUAAUGUCCAUCAAAAGUCUCUUUAUUUGCAUCUACAACUAAAACGAACAAGGCCAUCACUGGAAACCUGAACACAUCCUA
rnacentral:lncRNA from 1 species